GAUGAACGCUGACAGAAUGCUUAACACAUGCAAGUCUACUUGAUCCUUCGGGUGAUGGUGGCGGACGGGUGAGUAACGCGUAAAGAACUUGCCCUGCAGUCUGGGACAACAUUUGGAAACGAAUGCUAAUACCGGAUAUUAUGUGAGUUUCGCAUGAAAUUCAUAUGAAAGCUAUAUGCGCUGCAGGAGAGCUUUGCGUCCUAUUAGCUAGUUGGUGAGGUAACGGCUCACCAAGGCGAUGAUAGGUAGCCGGCCUGAGAGGGUGAACGGCCACAAGGGGACUGAGACACGGCCCUUACUCCUACGGGAGGCAGCAGUGGGGAAUAUUGGGCAAUGGACCAAAAGUCUGAUCCAGCAAUUCUGUGUGCACGAUGAAGUUUUUCGGAAUGUAAAGUGCUUUCAGUUGGGACGAAGUAAGUGACGGUACCAACAGAAGAAGCGACGGCUAAAUACGUGCCAGCAGCCGCGGUAAUACGUAUGUCGCAAGCGUUAUCCGGAUUUAUUGGGCGUAAAGCGCGUCUAGGCGGUUUGGUAAGUCUGAUGUGAAAAUGCGGGGCUCAACUCCGUAUUGUGUUGGAAACUGCCAAACUAGAGUACUGGAGAGGUGGGCGGAACUACAAGUGUAGAGGUGAAAUUCGUAGAUAUUUGUAGGAAUGCCGAUGGGGAAGCCAGCCCACUGGACAGAUACUGACGCUAAAGCGCGAAAGCGUGGGUAGCAAACAGG
rnacentral:rRNA from 1 species